rnacentral:lncRNA from 1 species
AUUCGUCAGAUUUAUUAUUAUUAAGUGUGCCUGUGCCAAGUGGCACACUUAUUACUAUUCGUCGGAUUUAUUAUUAAGUGUGCCUAUGCCAAGAGGCACACUUAUUACUAUUCGUCGGAUUUAUUAUUGUUAUUAAGUGUGCCUAUGCCAAGAGGCACACUUAUUACUAUUCGUCGGAUUUAUUGUGUGGAUGCUUUAAGGCAUCCACACUAUUGAGUUCCUGUUUCUCUUUAUUCUUUAUUGUGUGGAUGCUUUAAGGCAUCCACACUAUUGAAUUCCUGUUUCUCUUUAUUCUUUAUUAUUAUUAUACUUUAUUAUUAUUAAGUGUGCCUAUGCCAAGAGGCACACUUAUUACUAUUCCUCGGAUUUAUUAUUCUUAUUAUUAAGUGUGCCUAUGCCAAGAGGCACACUUAUUACUAUUCCUCGGAUUUAUUAAGUGUGCCUAUGCCAAGAGGCACAUUAUUUCUGCUAAUGUGUGCUAUGACUUUUGGUGUUUAUUACUAUUAUACUUUUUAAAAUAUUACACUUUUUUCCUUUAAUUUGUCCCAUUGAAAUGAAUGGAAAACUUCCACAAUUCUGCUAAAAUUUGCUUGUUUUUGAAACUUAACUACUCCCUCAGUUUUCAGCCGAUUUUCUCAGUUCAAACUCUAAACUGUUCUGCUCUUUCUGCUAAUUCCAGCUAUGACUUUUGGUGUUUAUUACUAUUAUACUUUUUAAAAUAUUACACUUUUUUUCCUUUAAUUUGUCCCAUUGAAAUGAAUGGGAAACUUCCACAAUUCUGCUAAAACUUGCUUGUCUUUGAAACUUAACUACGUCCUCAUGCUUUCACCUAGAAACUCCAUUCAAACUUUAAAAUGUUCUCAGAUUAUUGGGCUAUUCCUGUCUGAUUCAGCUUUUUCAGAUCUUCUACCGUUUUAAUCUUAUCUCUCUUUAAGUUUUCAGUUGCAAAAUUGUGAUUUUUCAGAAAAUACAUGCGUUGCUAUGGUUGCUAUGCAAUUAAGUCAGAGUGAGUGCUGGUCCGUUCUGAAUUUUCUCUUUAUGUCUGAACAACUUCUUUCUACUCGCUCAAUCUCCACUCAACCCCCACAAAUUAUACAUCAAAACGUAGGAAUUUUUGCUGGCUUUCAGACAAUGUUACUAUCUUUUUUGUGAGAUUUACUGUUUUUUCGCAAUUUGCCUCGAAGUGACACAAGGUCUGGAUACUCCCCAUUCAAAGUCUAUGGGGAGGUUUUGAAAUUCAGAGCUGAAAUUCUGUAACGGGAGGCAUUUUCAAAUCGCCAUAUCUCUUUAACAAAGCAAAGUUAGGACAUGAGGCUUGUGCCAAUAUAUCUUCAGACACUGCUGACACUCACAGUGGAAGCAGUUUUUACAAUUAUCUUACCGUUGAGCAAUGAAUUAUGUUUGUUUGAGGGGUGGAAAUCUGUCCUCCUCUCAGUCUUCAAACUCCGAAAAUGAAGCCGUUUCUUCUCUCGUCAUAUCUCCGCGAUGGAGGUACAAAGAGCUAUGAAAAUCGCAGUCAAAGUACACCAAAGUCCGCUGAUUCACCCAGUACAAGAAUUAUGCUGCUAGCUCUCCUAGUGUUUGAGUUACACGACGUUUUGUAACUCCAAAAAACGGCGUUUUUCGCCUCUCACCGCGAUCUAAUUGUGACUGGUCAUCAAUCUGUUUUUCAGACCCCCGUCCCCUGUCCAGGUGGCGCAAUCAGUAAUGACACGGCUCUGCAGCUCACAGGUCGUGGGUUCAAUCCCACCUUGGUCCACAUGUUGUUUUUUUUUCACUACAAAUUUAUACACUAUCACAAACCUGUAAUUUAUAUUGCUAAUUUUUUUCACUACAAAUGAGUAGUGCAAAAACAUACUAUGUCUGCAACAUCACAGUAUAUCUGUUAUGUUAUAGUAUUACUACUAAAUCACAGUAUUUCUGCCAAUUCAAGGAGGCUGACUGUUACUAAGUGCAUCAGUGUACAUAGGUCAUCUGUUGUGUUGGAGUGCCCUCUUGUGGCGCCUUUUGGGUAGUGCCUUAGUAAACGUGAACACUGCAAAGAAGUGGUAUCAGACUGGUUUGUAGUGGAGGAAUUUGUUGCCAGUUUCUUUCAUCUUUAAUCCGUAUUCAUGUUGUAAUGUAGUAACUUU